rnacentral:rRNA from 1 species
AGAACGAACGCUGGCGGCAUGCCUAACACAUGCAAGUCGAACGCUUUUGGGGCUUCGGUCCCAAAGGAGUGGCGCACGGGUGAGUAGCGCGUGGGAACCUGCCCUGUUGUGGGGGAUAACCGAGGGAAACUUCGGCUAAUACCGCAUACGCCCGGGGGAAACUCCGGGGAAAGAUUUAUCGCAGCAGGAGGGGCCCGCGUCGGAUUAGGUAGUUGGUGGGGUAACGGCCCACCAAGCCUGUGAUCCGUAGCUGGUCUGAGAGGAUGAUCAGCCACACUGGGACUGAGACACGGCCCAGACUCCUACGGGAGGCAGCAGUGGGGAAUAUUGGACAAUGGGCGCAAGCCUGAUCCAGCAAUGCCGCGUGAGUGAUGAAGGCCUUCGGGUUGUAAAGCUCUUUCGCACGCGACGAUGAUGACGGUAGCGUGAGAAGAAGCCCGGACUAACUUCGUGCCAGCAGGCCGC